GCUUAACCGGAGAAGUGCAUCGGAAACUGGAUAACUUGAGUGCAGAAGAGGGUAGUGGGACUCCAUGUGUAGCGGUGGAAUGCGUAGAUAUAUGGAAGAACACCAGUGGCGAAGGCGGCUACCUGGUCUGCAACUGACGCUGAGACUCGAAAGCAUGGGUAGCGAACAGGAUUAGAUACCCUGGUAGUCCAUGCCGUAAACGAUGAGUGCUAGGUGUUGGAGGGUUUCCGCCCUUCAGUGCCGGAGCUAACGCAUUAAGCACUCCGCCUGGGGAGUACGACCGCAAGGUUGAAACUCAAAGGAAUUGACGGGGGCCCGCACAAGCGGUGGAGCAUGUGGUUUAAUUCGAAGCUACGCGAAGAACCUUACCAGGUCUUGACAUCUUGCGCCAACCCUAGAGAUAGGGCGUUUCCUUCGGGAACGCAAUGACAGGUGGUGCAUGGUCGUCGUCAGCUCGUGUCGUGAGGUGUUGGGUUAAGUCCCGCAACGAGCGCAACCCUUGUUACUAGUUGCCAGCAUUAAGUUGGGCACUCUAGUGAGACUGCCGGUGACAAACCGGAGGAAGGUGGGGGACGACGUCAGAUCAUCAUGCCCCUUAUGACCUGUGCUACACACGUGCUACAAUGGACGGUACAACG
rnacentral:rRNA from 1 species